UAACGACAUCAUCUUGGUUUUAUCAAACGCUUCCUGUACCUGGAUUUCCCACAAUACACCCACUAGCACUAGGCCCUCUGCAGACAUUGCCUGAAUUUCUACAUUGUUAGCAAUUGUUUUAGCCACAAUAAAUCCUGCACAAUAUCACCAAAGUCAUAUUAUUUUAACCAAUUCUAGACAUAAUAUUUUUCUACUUAAAAUCUACCUAGCUUCUGAUUAUUAAUAGGAUAAAAUCCAAAAGCAUAAUGUUGUGCACAUGUACCUUAAAACUUAAAGUAUAAUAAAAAAAAGAAAAAAAAAGAAAACACUAAUCAUAAAUUACAGUGGCUAUAUUAAGACACUAUAUAAACACUACACAGUGGCUAUAUAAGACACAGACAAGGUAAGCUUUAAAAUACGGAGUAUCACCAGAUACAAAGGGAUUUCAUGAAAAUAGGUCAAAUCAUCAAGAAAAGAAAUACUAAAGGUAACAAUACAAAAUAUGUUAGAGGAAGAAAAACUUAAGUACACAGAGAAAUCUGUACACAAAUGUUCCUAACAGAUUUAUUUGUAAAACACUAGGCCAGCCAUGGU
rnacentral:lncRNA from 1 species